rnacentral:rRNA from 1 species
CCUACGGGAGACUGCAGUGGGGGAUAUUGGACAAUGGGGGAAACCCUGAUGCAGCGACGCCGCGUGAGGGAAGAAGUCUUUCGGUAUGUAAAGCUCUAUCAGCAGGGAAGAAAAUGACGGUACCUGACCAAGAAGCCCCGGCUAACUACGUGCCAGCAGCCGCGGUAAUACGUAGGGGGCAAGCGUUAUCCGGAUUUACUGGGUGUAAAGGGAGCGUAGACGGGUGUGUAAGACUGGAGUGAAAGCCCGGGGCCCAACCCCGGGACUGCUUUUGAAACUGUGGAACUGGAGUACAGGAGGGGUAGGCGGAAUUCCUGGUGUAGCGGUGAAAUGCGUAGAUAUCAGGAGGAACACCGGCGGCGAAGGCGGCCUGCUGGACUGAAACUGACGUUGAGGCUCGAAAGCGUGGGGAGCAAACAGGAUUAGAUACCCGGGUAGUC